rnacentral:tRNA from 1 species
AAGGAAGUGACAGAGUGGUUAUGUGACUGGCUUGAAACCAGCAUGUGGGGGUUCGAUUCCUCCCUUCCUCG